GGCUAACUUGACAGGCAACUGCUGGGUCAGGCUGGCAACCUCUUUAUGAGCUCCUGAUCUCCUGCCUCUGUUGACUGCCACGUGGCUACUUGCAGAUGGCUCCUGCAGAGACUCUUCUGCUCCUAGACUGGGGGAUUCUGGUCACCAUCAGUAUCGGCACCAUCUUUCGGUCAGUUGAGAUCAGCCUCCCUCUCUAUCCCAAAGGUUUCCUCCAAGUCCUUUUUAUUUGCUUCCUUUUCCUCUCUGCCUGUGUUGCCCCUCCCCUCUGCAGUGGGCAGGCAUCUCUGGCACCGCGUGUGUCUCCAAUGUAUUAUUUCUUAUGAGUCUCUAUGAUUAUUUUACUGUUCAGUGUUGAAUUUCAGUGAAUUCCCUCAGUUACUCACCUCACUUUGUAACAAUAUUCCUUCUGCUUGAGCCUUGAGCCAAGGAGCAGUUGGAGAGCUCACCCUUGCCCUAAUCCACCCUCUUCCCGUACUCCUGUUAACUAUUUUUAAAAACUUAACUGUUAUUUUCAAGUUUAUCAAACUUAAAAAUUCCUUUUUAAAUCUAUGUCUUCAAUCUGUUUAGAUACUUUAAUUCACAGACUGAAUGUGUUUUUAAAAGGCCAUCCAGGUUUACUCAGUUAUAUUUUAAUACAAGAAAAGGAAAAUACAAUAAAAUAAAAUCAAAGUGCUUUCAACUUUUGUUAAAUUAUUGCUAUGACUUAAAAACUAAGAGUAAAAUUACUAGCAUUUCUUACUAUUUUUGUUAACUAAAUUGAGUAGUUUAAAGCAGUUCAUAUGAAAGUAAAGUUAAAUUAUAAUUUUAACUAUAAAUUAUAAGUACAAGUUUAUUUUCUCUAAUUAUCACAAUUUGACUAUUACAUGAAAAAUUAAAUUAUUGUAGUCAACAUUUCUUGCAGUAAUUUAUCUAAAAUAACAUAGCAAAAUGAAAAUUUUAGAACAUUUCAAAGAAAUUUUCACUCAUCCUUUUUACAUACCCAAGGCAAAAUUAUAAAGCAUUUAGAAAUAGUCAUUAAGAAAAGUAUGCUUUUUUCUUAGUUUAUUUAUAUCCACACCACAAAUUUUUUUAGAUACACAAAAAAAAAUGUUGACUGAAGUUCAAAUAUUAGUGAUAAAUCAAAUCCUAUUUCACUAGUAAUAUUUUAAAAUUUCUUACCAAUAUCACCAAAGUGCUAUGUUUACUAAAUAAUAUAUGAUUGCCAAAUCAGAAUAAAAUAAAAUGUAGCAAAGAGAAACUAUUAAAGAAAGAAAGGUAUAUAUUAUUGGCUCUCAGGAAUUGCAUAACUUCCUGUUCCAUAAACUGAAACUUUAAAAUAGAAAAGAACAUGUUAGAUGUAAGUAGAAGACAUAGUGGUACAGGAAGGUUCUCAAACAUGAAGUGCUCAUAUAUACGCUGAAAUAGCAACCAUUUUGCUGCCAAAUCCUCCAUUAGCACUUGCUUCAAAAGUUUCAGGGCUGGAUUCUGCAUCUCCUUCUAGUACGUGCCUUGGUAUUAGCAUCAGAGUAUUUGAUUCUAAGAGAGGGGAUUCUUGAUUUGUACACAGCUUCAUGUCAUAUUCAACACACACACACACACACACACACACACACACACACAAAAAAAAAAAAAAACCCUGUGAGGAGCAGCUCAGCCACAUUCAAGUCUAGUUAAAGGGAAAAACACUUUCUGAGUGCAUCUUCACUUUCUCCUUCUCUCUAUUAUGUUUUCAGAUUACAUCCCAGGCUUAGCUAAAGCCUCUAUUAGCUAAACCCGUGUGGGGGGCUGCAACCUGGGAAGUUUGGUCAGAGCCCAGUGUGGUGAGAAGGCCUAGUUUGUAUUGGCAAGGUGGCUAGGGCACAGUGAAGUUGAGUUAGUGUUCUUGAGUCAGGUCAGUUGGGUUCAAAUCUUGGUUCCACCCCUUUUAUAGUCUUGUGAUCUCAACCAAGUUAAUUAACCUCUCAGUGCUUAAUUAAUUAUUUGUAUCAUGGAUAUGAUUACAGAGGUGAUAUAUGAAAAUGGGUAAUAUUUGCAAAGUGCCUUUUACCUACUGAGUGUUCAAAAUAUGUACAUCAUCAGACAUUUCACUUUUGGUAGAGGUGUGCAUGAAUAUGUGCAUGAAGAUGACAUCUUAAGAAAGACAGUCAAAAUACUAAAAAGUAGAAAGACAGGGGUUGAAAUCUCACUCAACCUCUUAAAAAUAUUAUGAUAUUCUUGCACUGUUUACUCUUUGCUUCAUCCUCAGUUAUUCUGAUUGCUGGGUCUGAGUUGGGACUUUAGGUCUAUAUGUGAUGUUUCAAUCUUCCAGGUAGUAAUACACAGCCAAAUUGAAUAACAAUGUCAUCAAAAAAUCAUCAGGACCAUAGUUCUCUGAUCCCAACCCACAUUUAAAACUUUCUCUUUCAUUGCUACCUUCCCUUCUCACCCGACUGCUUUCUAUUUCCUAAAACACACCAUUUUUUGUUCCGUGUACCUGUGAGUUUGCAUGAGGUACUACUUCUACUUAAAUAUCCUUUCACACUGUCUCAUACAUGAAUCAGUUCUUGUUCCUGUUUAAAUACCCAGCUCAACCAUUAUGUCCUUCCAUGCUGAACAAGUCAGUAGUUCUGUCUUCUGAGUUUUCUCAGUCCUUCCCACUUGUCUGGUGAAGCCUCCAUCCUGCCUCCUACUGUCCUGUUCUGUCACAGGAAGAUUUCUGGACUGUGAGUUCUUUGGUGGAGAUUUUCUCACUUUGUUUUCUCUAAUGCCCAGCUCUAGAGUAGGGCCACCACUCAACGAACGAUUGUAACAACUGGAUAAACUCAGGUUAAUAGAAAAUCUGAGACACAUUAUUUAUGCUAAAAUUAUCUGUAUGUAUCAGAGAAUAAAAUGCUAAAUGAAGAUAAAAUAUUACAGAAACACAGAAGAAUGAGAAAUGAAUGUUACUCUAUUAGUGCACAGAGACAAACCAAGAUUUUUCCUGUGCUGAGAUGCUGUAAUAUACUACAAAGAAACUAGGAGAGUGUGAAGCAUAAUCUUGCCUCACUGAAUUUGCAUCAAAUUAGUGAGGACAAGGCCAACAGUGUCCAAUUAAGAGAUGAAAUUAAGAGGCUUACAAAAGUCUAGAGAGGAGGAAAUCAUAUAAAGCUAAGUUAGCAUACGCAAAGAUAACUUUCUUGAGGAGGUGAGACUAGUUUUUGAUAUCCAAAAAGACAGUGUUUGUACCAAGUAGGGGAAAAACAGAUGGUUUUCUCAAAGUGUGAAGGAAGGGGAGGAGAAGGGAGGCGGCUGUGUUAGGCAACUGCUGAAACAGAGCCCAGAAUGCAUGUUAGGAAGUAGUGGGAAAUAAUGGGAGAUCAGUAGGUCGAGCCAGAUGAUAAUAAGGCUUUUAAAGUUACUCACUGCCAACUAAAGUUUGAGAUUUUUAUGGUAACUGAAGCAAAUGAUUGAUUGAUGAGGGGGGAAAAAAAACGUUGUGUUGAUUAAAUGUUGACCAUUAUAAUUUUCAGUGCAACAGCUGCUACUGAAAUUGCAGUAAUUCUAAAUGAAAAAUAGACACUGUUGUUCUAAAAUAGCUUGGACUAUUUGGAACCCUGUAGCAUGAGUUUAUGCUGUGUAGUUAUGCUAGGAACAUGAUGGGGUGCAUGUUCCUUUUUUUUCAUUUUAUCAUAAUGACUUGUUCUAUGGGUGGAGAAUUCAAACUGAGCAACAAUUUCACAGCUAGAGUUGGAGUGUGGGUUGAAUAAAGUUGUAAAAGCACUUUCCAAAGAGAUGAAAACUCUCCCAACUACCUAAUUAGAAUUUCUAACUAGAAUAGUUGAAACACAUAAAUUGCUUAAAUUAUUUAGCUAUUAAAAUUUAAUUAUUGUCAACUCAUUAUUUAUAGUUUAUCACUUCUUUUAUAGUUAUUUUCCAGAAAAUUUGAACCCUAAAGUUUGACUGGCAAUCUAUUUUCCUCAAGAUAAAUAUCUAUUUACCAAACUAACCAUGUUAUACAAACUUCCAAGGUAGGAAUAAUCAGAAUAUAAUUUACAGUUAAAACUCAUAAUUUCUUGUUGUUUAAUAUUUUAUUUCAAUAUUGAGACUUUAGCUCCUUGAGGAUUAGUCAUCUUAAUAAUGUCAAAUCAAGUGUGGUUUAGCAUUAAUAUACUGUACAUUCUUGUUUAUUACCAGUAUGUCAUCUCUCUGUACCCAUAAUUUAUUUGAGGAUACUUUAUCAUAUCGAAAAAUUCAGCUAUCAUCGCAUAGUAGAUACUUGAAAACGGAGAGAAAGUAGGAAAAUUCCAAGCUAUGUUUUGAAAAGAUAAUGCUAAUAGCAGGAGAAGUUUGAAUUAGAAGACAUGGGAAGAGAACGGAAAAGGGAAGAACUAUAAACUCUAGUUUGUAGUUUAUAUUUAGCUACACAUGGUCAGGAGGAAUAGUUUUUUUUUUCCGAAACAAAGGAAACAGAAACAUAUAUGGAGUAUAUGCAUUUGGGAUGUUGAGCAGAACUGGUUAUUGGAUAUGUAGAAUUAACAGGUACGCAAGGGAUGACCUAUCAGUGGCAGAGUCUCAGCUACACCUGGAGUGAAAAUGGAGCUCUGGGUACUGUAAGUAGAGAAUAGCAGAUUGCUAUAGCAACAGUAUCCUACCAAGUGCAAAUAGAGUCCAUUGUCUCUGCCAGUUGACCAAGGGAGGUUUUCAGAAGGCCAAAAUGCAUUAGCAUUCUGUACCAACUGGUUUUUUGUUAUGAAAAAAAUGAUCAUCAAGUGCAUAUCAUAAAUGUAGUUAGCACUUGACCACAGCAGAUUCAUGGAUUUAAAUGUUUAUGAUAGUAAAACAAGGCACAUUUUAUAUAGAGGUACACUCCUUAACCCUUCUACUCUAGGGGAACAUAGGUACAUAACAGCCUUGGGAUUUGUAUUCUUUAUCUAUAAGACAGAAUAAUAAUCAUAUUAUCUCUAUCUCAUAAACCUGCACGUUGCUUAGAGAAUGCAUACCACAUAUUAAUGCAAAUAUUAGACAUGAUUGUCGUCAUCACAUAAGUAAGUAGCAUAUUGUAGUGGUUAGGAACAUAAUGCCUGGGCUUUGAUUAUUAUUAUUUUUUGUUAGUAGUAAAAUAUGGCAACUUUCAGUUGCAUUAACUUGGGCAAGUUAUUUAACUUCUUUGUGCUUCAAUUUUCUCACCCAUAAAAUGGGCAUUAAUAAUUGAUCCUACCUCAUAGAGUUGUUAUCUGGAUUAAAUAAAGAAAUAUCUGUAAAGUGCUCAGAUCACUAUCAGGCUCACAGUGAAUAUGAAACAACUAUUUGUUAAACAGAAAGCUUUCAUUAGAUUCUUCUUGGAGUUUUAUCAUUCUCAUAAUAGCUCCUCUUUCUUAGUAGUUUUUACAUUUUAGUUUACUUUUAUGCUUUUUCCAUGGUUUCUGAAUUUAAAGAAAGUAAAAAGGAAGGCAAAAAAAAAUCUUGAAAUGUAUUGCAUUUCUACUUUGUUCCAGGGCCUCUCCUCGGUAUUAUUUCCAACAUUUUGUUAUUGUCUCAUUUAAACCUCACAAAAACUACGGGGAGACUCAAGGCCAGGGUUCAAUCCUAGCACCAUAAAAAUACUUGUGAAAAUAGAAAGAAAAUUAAGAAAAUAGAGCAAUAAAAUUUGCAUAAUGUAAAAUUUUACAGCCAGUAAAUAUUUUUUAAUUUGUUUUCAUUAGUUAUACAUGACAAUAGAAUGUAUUCUGACAUACUAUACAUAUAUGGAGUAUGAAUUCCCAUUCUUUGGUUGUCAUGAUGUGGAAUUACAUUUGCCAUGUAUUCAUAUAUGAACAUAGGAAAGUUAAACCCGAUUCUUUCUACUGUCUUUCCUAUUUCCACUCCCCCUUCCUUCCCUUCAUUCCCCUUUGUCUAAUCCAAAGUACUUCUGUUCUUCCUUACCCUCCCCCCCUAUUGUGAGUUAGCAUCCUCAUAUCAGAGAGAACAUUCAGCUUUUGGGUUUUUAGUAUUGGCUUAUUUUACUUAGCAUGAUAGUCUCCAGUUCUAUCCAUUUACUGGCAAAUUCCAUGAUUUCAUUUCUCUUUAUGGCUGAGUACUAUUCCAUUGUGUAUAUAUAACACAUUUUCUUUAUUCAUUCAUCUGGUGAAGGACACCAAGGCUGUUUCCGUAGUUUAGCUAUUUAGUGAAUUGAGCUGCUCUAAACAUUGAUGUGGCUGAGUCAUUGUAGCAUACUGAUUUUAAGUCCUUUGGGUACAAACCUAGGAGUGGGAUAAUUGGGUCAAAUGGUGGUUGCAUUGCAAGUUUUCUAAGGAAUUACCAUACUAUUUUUCAGAGUGAUUGCACCAAUUUGCAGUCUCACCAGCAAUGUAUGAGUAUACCUUUCUCCACGAAUUCUCACCAACAUUUUUUUUUACUUGUAUUCUUGUAUUGCCAUUUUGACUAGAGUGAGAUGAAAUCUCAGUGUAAUUUUAAUUUGCAUUUCUCUAAUUGCUACAGAUGUUGAACAUUUUUUUUAUAUAUUUGUUGACAAAUUGUAUUUCUUCAGUGAAGUUCCUGUUCAGUUCCUUUGCCAUUUAUUAAUUGGGUUAUUUGUUGUUUUGGUGUUAAGUUUUUUGAGUUCUUUAUAUAUCCUGGAGAUUAAUGUUCUAUCUGAAGUACAGGUGGCAAAGAUUUUCUCCUAUUUUGUGGGCUCUAUCUUCACAUUCUUGAUUUUUUCCUUUGUUAUAAGAACAUUUUUUAGUUUGAUACCAUCUCAUUUAUUUAUUCUUGAUUUUUCUUCUUGCAUUUUAGAAGUCUUAUUAAGGAAGUUGCUUCCUAAGCCAACAUGAUGUUCUUCUACUUGUUCUUCUGUUAGGCACAGGGUCUCUGGCAUAAUGCCUUACAGCUAGUAAAUAUCAAAGCUAUAGUGUCAAUCAACAUAUCAGUGUUUCCAACAUUAAUAAUCUUUCCACUAUUACCAUACAGUAUUUAUCAGAUAAGUUCAAAGAAAAUAAUAGUUUAUAAUCAUAAUUAGUAGAACCAUAUUAAUCAUAAUAUGCUAAAUAUUUUAUUCUCAUUCUAUUCUCAUCAAACUUUAUAUUUCUAAUAGUUAACAUUUUUUUCUACCCAUUGUAAUAUAUACCAAAUUAUCAACCUGCUACAGUGCUCCAUGUUUUGUUCAAGAAAGCUUAAUGGUUAAUUAGUGAUUAGCUGACUGAUUAAGGAUAUAUUCAGUGGAGAAAAUAGUCUAACCCAUAACAUUAAGAGCCCACUGCAAUAUUUAAAUAUGCCAAAUUUUCUAUUAUAACUAUCUCAUUUGGUUUCUUUCCAUGUUUCAAUGCACUGAUAUUUUAAUCCUGUAAACAUUAUUUGUAGCAUUUUACAUCUAAUAGUUUAUUGAGUUCCGAGAUGAUGGUGAGAUUCCUUUAUGCUCUUGUAGGGAUAGGAAGCACUUAUUAAAAUAUUUUUAAAGAAAUUAUGUAUAAUUGAAGCUUUUAAGUUCAUCAUACAUAAAGCAAAAAAAAAAUGUAGACUCCACCACAGACUUAAGUGAAGUAUUUGAGAUACACAGAAUUCAUCAUUGAGUUUCUCAGUAUCACCAAAUUUAGACUUGAUACAAAUGACUUCAUCUUUAUUUCAGUUAAUUUUCAGUUCAGCAUUUUGUCAAAUUUUAUUGAUAGCUAGUGUCCCCACUGCACAGAAGCACUAAUCUCUACAUCAAAGUUUAAAGGAAAGCGGAGACACAUUCUCAGAUAGCAAGGAAGGAAAACAAUUACUGCCAUUAGUCACUCCUUAAGGAUCAAGGAGAAAAUAGAAAUGAUUUCAUAAUGUUGUUUUGUUUUGUUAAGACAGGGUUUCCCUAUGUUGCCCAGUCUGGUCCCAGACUCCAAGGUAUCCUCCGAAACUCAGCCUUGAGACUAUGGGUACUCGCCACUGUGCCUGGCUCUAGAAAUUAUUUUAGAUGUAAAUGAAAAGGUGAAAUGAGCUUUUUCUUGUAACUCUCAUGGACUAGUUAUAAAGCAGUGUGAUGAAUAAGAAUAGCAUCAGGAUACAUAAGAAUGUCAUCUAACAUUGCCUCUAUAAGUUCGAGUGAAUCAUCACAUCCAUUGCAUAACUUUUAGAACAUCCCAUGAAGAUGUUUGCUACCUGCAAAUUCACCAGUCAGUUGUUAUGUUUUCAUUCAUAUUACUUGAGUAUACCCUUAAAAUGGGAGUGAUCUAUUAAUGAAUUGUUUUCAGCAAGACAGAACAACAAAUCCUUCACAAUAAUUAAGCUUUUUAAACUCAUUUUAAAAAAUGUAUUAUCCAAUGAACAUGUUUAUAUUUCACCUACCUUGAAAAAGAAGAGCAUUUCUCAAUCCCCAUGAAAGUAAACCACACCUCAAUUUAAUGUGUGAGAGAGCUAGUAAAUACAGCCUUUCAAAAACUAAUUAGUAUGCUGGGCCUGGUAGCAUUCACCUGUAAUCCUAGUGGUUUGGGAGGCUGAGGCAGGAAGAUGGCAAGUUCAAAGCUAGCCUCAGUUAGCGAAACCCUGUUUCUAAAUAACAUAUUUUUUAAAAGGUCCAGGAAUGUGGCUCAGUGAUUGAGUGCCCUUGGACUCAAUCCUCAGUACAAAAAAUAAAAUAAAAUAAAGUAAUUUUUUAAAUUAAAUGUAUCCCUAGCCAACCCAUGGUUAGAUAUUAUUUUAUGUUAUGAAAUUCCAUCAAAGUUUGUGAUAUCAAAACUUUCCUUUAAAAUGAAUGCCUCAAGAAAUGGAUUUAGAAAACUUUUAGCAACUUUGGCAUUACCUGUGCCUUAAACAGGGAAAGAUUAAAAUAGUUUUAAACCGAGAGGAAGAAGGAAGGUAGAAAUAUAAUUGAAAAACUCACAAUGAAGAACAGAAGUUGUGAGUCUUCAACUAUGACUUAGUAUAUUUUUCUUAAAGUGUUAGGGUCUGUAAACAAGUCAAGAUGGCGCCUGGCAUUUUGCAGAGGGAGUGGUUUGUGAAGUAAUGCCAGCGAGCCAUUAAGUGUGGAGAUUCCUUAUUGGUUGACUGCUGUAUCUAGUUUAUGUUAAUUAAGAUAAGCUGUGUGGAAUGUAUAUAUACCCCUCCUGUCCUGCAAUAAACGGCUCCCAAUCCUGCUGUAUCAAUCUACACAAGUUGUUCGUCACUGCCUGGUUAUUUUGCUGCAGCCGGAGGAAAAUACACCUCAGAGGGAUUUAAAUUUGUUGUAAAGUGAAAUAUUUUUUAUGAAAUGAAUGUUGGUGUUCAAAAGCUUUUCCAUUUUUACCUCCAUAUUCAGACUCUACUCAUCAUCCUGCUCUGUUCCUUGGAAGAAUGAGCUCCAUGAAUUGUGCAGUAUCCCUGUGACUUUCACUUGGAUUUGACUCUUUGAAAGGAUUCGUGGGAGAUCUAUACAUUAAAGGAGAGUGAAUCAGAACAUUUAUUCCCCAGCCAGCCCUUGCCAGGUUACAGGUUGGCAGUAUUUUCUUAACCCUAUCCAAAACCAGAUGUCCUAUGUGUCAUCCUCUCCUAUGACCAUAGCCACAUCUAAAGCAACACUGACAUCUCCUUCAGAAUUCUAAUAUCCACUCCCCUUCCAAUCUAGGAUGGUAAGAGUUUCCAGCUAUCGUUAGGCCAGAGGUUUAUCAGACCUUGCUGGUUUCCUUUGUUCAGUCUACACCUUUCUAAGGACCUCCUUUAUUAAAUUAUCCUAGUGAUCCAAUUUGAGUGUGUCAUUUUCCUUACUGACAAAUAUAUGGAAAAGUGAAUGAGUUUCCAGUAUUAGCUUCCAAGUCCUUUCCUUGACCCAUUAAAGAACUUAAGAUGCCUUUAAAAAAAAAUUAAAAGUUUUUGCAGGUCCUAGACAACAGACAACUUAGGUUAGGUGCAACUGGUAAAUCAAUGACUACUUAAGUUUUAAAGUUUAAGGCUUAAUGUUUUCUUCACUGGAAAUAAAGUGUGUUUUCACAAAUGGGUAACUUAUUAAGUCAAAAGAAGGAAACUUAGACAAUUUUAAGGAACUCUACUCAGGAAAUUAUGAGGUUUGCUUACAUGUGUUUUUUUUUUGUUGUUGUUGUUCAGGUAUUAUUUCCUACCUUUAAAUAUUGCAAAUAACAGCAUACUACAGAGAUGCAGCUACAUAUAGCAGCACAAUUCACAAAAGUGUGGAACCAACUUGGAUGCCCUUCAAUAGAUGAAUGGAUAAAGAAACUGUGGUACAUUUACACAAUGGAAUGUUACUCAGCAUUAAAAAAGAACAAAAUUAUGGCAUUUGCAGAUAAAUUGGUGGAGUUGGAGAAUAUCAUGCUAAGCAAAGUAAGCCAAUCCCCAAAAUGAAUGAGAUGGACAUCAUUACCCUAAGUACAUGUAUGAUUGCAUAAAUGGUGUGACCCUACUUUGUGUACAACCAGAGAAGCGAAAAAUUGUGCUUCAUUUGUAUACAAUGAAUCAAAGAGCAUUCUGCUGUCAUGUAUAACUGAUUAG
rnacentral:lncRNA from 1 species